rnacentral:miRNA from 1 species
AUACUGUCUGUGGCCAUGCUACCCUGAACAAGCCCGAUCCCAUCUGAUCUCAGAAACUAAGCAGGGUUGGGCCUGGUUAGUACAUGGACGGG